rnacentral:tRNA from 1 species
GCUGGGGUCGCCUAGUCUGGUAGGGCGGCAGGUUGCUAACCUGUUGCGCGUAAGCGUCCGUGGGUUCAAAUCCCUCCCCUAGCG